rnacentral:rRNA from 1 species
GACGAACGCUGGCGGCGUGCUUAACACAUGCAAGUCGAACGGAAAGGCCCUGCUUUUGUGUGGUGCUCGAGUGGCGAACGGGUGAGUAACACGUGAGUAACCUUCCCUUGACUUUGUGAUAACUUCAGGAAACUGGGGCUAAUACCGGAUAGGAGCUCCUGCUGCAUGGUGGGGGUUGGAAAGUUUCGGCGGUUGGGGAUGGACUCGCGGCUUAUCAGCUUGUUGGUGGGGGAGUGGCUUACCAAGGCUUUGACGGGUAGCCGGCCUGAGAGGGUGACCGGCCACAUUGGGACUGAGAUACGGCCCAGACUCCUACGGGAGGCAGCAGUGGGGAAUAUUGCACAAUGGGCGGAAGCCUGAUGCAGCAACGCCGCGUGCGGGAUGACGGCCUUCGGGUUGUAAACCGCUUUCGCCUGUGACGAAGCGUGAGUGACGGUAAUGGGUAAAGAAGCACCGGCUAACUACGUG